rnacentral:rRNA from 1 species
UAAAUACUCCUGACUGACCGAUAGUGAACCAGUACCGUGAGGGAAAGGCGAAAAGAACCCCGGCGAGGGGAGUGAAAAAGAACCUGAAACCGUGUACGUACAAGCAGUGGGAGCACCCUUUGGGGUGUGACUGCGUACCUUUUGUAUAAUGGGUCAGCGACUUAUAUUCUGUAGCAAGGUUAACCGAAUAGGGGAGCCGGAGGGAAACCGAGUCUUAAUUGGGCGUUAAGUUGCAGGGUAUAGACCCGAAACCCGGUGAUCUAGCCAUGGGCAGGUUGAAGGUUGGGUAACACUAACUGGAGGACCGAACCGACUAAUGUUGAAAAAUUAGCGGAUGACCUGUGGCUGGGGGUGAAAGGCCAAUCAAACCGGGAGAUAGCUGGUUCUCCCCGAAAGCUAUUUAGGUAGCGCCUCGUGAAUUCAUCUCCGGGGGUAGAGCACUGUUUCGGCUAGGGGGCCAUCCCGGCUUACCAACCCGAUGCAAACUGCGAAUACCGGAGAAUGUUAUCACGGGAGACACACGGCGGGUGCUAACGUCCGUCGUGAAGAGGGAAACAACCCAGACCGCCAGCUAAGGUCCCAAAGUCAUGGUUAAGUGGGAAACGAUGUGGGAAGGCCCAGACAGCCAGGAUGUUGGCUUAGAAGCAGCCAUCAUUUAAAGAAAGCGUAAUAGCUCACUGGUCGAGUCGGCCUGCGCGGAAGAUGUAACGGGGCUAAACCAUGCACCGAAGCUGCGGCAGCGACGCUGAUGCGUUGUUGGGUAGGGGAGCGUUCUGUAAGCCUGUGAAGGUGUGUCGUGAGGCAUGCUGGAGGUAUCAGAAGUGCGAAUGCUGACAUAAGUAACGAUAAAGCGGGUGAAAAGCCCGCUCGCCGGAAGACCAAGGGUUCCUGUCCAACGUUAAUCGGGGCAGGGUGAGUCGACCCCUAAGGCGAGGCCGAAAGGCGUAGUCGAUGGGAAACGGGUUAAUAUUCCCGUACUUGGUGUUACUGCGAAGGGGGGACGGAGAAGGCUAUGUUGGCCGGGCGACGGUUGUCCCGGUUUAAGCGUGUAGGUGUGUGUUCCAGGUAAAUCCGGUUCACUUUAACACUGAGGCGUGACGACGAGGCACUACGGUGCUGAAGCAACAAAUGCCCUGCUUCCAGGAAAAGCCUCUAAGCAUCAGGUAACAUCAAAUCGUACCCCAAACCGACACAGGUGGUCAGGUAGAGAAUACCAAGGCGCUUGAGAGAACUCGGGUGAAGGAACUAGGCAAAAUGGUGCCGUAACUUCGGGAGAAGGCACGCUGACACGUAGGUGAAGUGAUUUACUCAUGGAGCUGAAGUCAGUCGAA